rnacentral:rRNA from 1 species
UGGGGAAUAUUGCACAAUGGGCGCAAGCCUGAUGCAGCCAUGCCGCGUGUAUGAAGAAGGCCUUCGGGUUGUAAAGUACUUUCAGUCGGGAGGAAGGUGGUAAGGUUAAUAACCUUGGCAAUUGACGUUACCGACAGAAGAAGCACCGGCUAACUCCGUGCCAGCAGCCGCGGUAAUACGGAGGGUGCAAGCGUUAAUCGGAAUUACUGGGCGUAAAGCGCACGCAGGCGGUUGAUUGAGUCGGAUGUGAAAUCCCCGGGCUCAACCUGGGAACUGCAUUCGAAACUGGCAGGCUAGAGUCUUGUAGAGGGGGGUAGAAUUCCAGGUGUAGCGGUGAAAUGCGUAGAGAUCUGGAGGAAUACCGGUGGCGAAGGCGGCCCCCUGGACAAAGACUGACGCUCAGGUGCGAAAGCGUGGGGAGCAAACAGG